CUGCCAUCCGGGAGGAACUCAAAGUAAAGCCGCUGCUCCUCCACAUCGAGAGGAGCCAGAUGAGGUGGUUCGGGCAUCUGGUCAGGAUGCCACCCGAACGCCUCCCUAGGGAGGUGUUUAGGGCACGUCCAACCGGUAGGAGGCCACGGGGAAGACCCAGGACACGUUGGGAAGACUAUGUCUCCCGGCUGGCCUGGGAACGCCUCGGGAUCCCCCGGGAAGAGCUAGACGAAGUGGCUGGGGAGAGGGAAGUCUGGGUUUCCCUGCUUAGGCUGUUGCCCCCGCGACCCGACCUCGGAUAAGCGAAAGAAGAUGGAUGGAUGGAUGGAUAGGCUCUCUCAGCCAAAAAGGUUCCCGACCCCUGCUUUAACCUUUGUUCUACUCAUUAGCUCUUGGUUUUACGUGUUCACAUCCAGCAAGGAGGUAUGCCAAUUCCCUGUGAGGUUAAAACAAUUCCCUUUUUCUAUCCAAAUCCUUCUUCUCUUCUGUUCAUCAUUCCACUCUCGCUCUUUUCCUCACACUCUUGCUUCUAGUGUUUUGCAUCUCCCCUCUCACUCCUGCUUCCCUUCUUUCAUAUUCCUGCUCUUGUCCCCACUACCAAACUCGUCACUUAAGAAAGAUGCACCUACCUUUAUCCAUGUUGGAGAGCGUCAGGUUGUUGAGGCUGUCGAACUGGAAAUGCAAAGCAAAAUUGUUUUCAGAGUUCACCACUGAAAUGAACCUAGAUCCGAAAAAUAGGUGUGUUGUAACAAUACCUCGCCCAUGACACCAAUGGGCGUCUCCCCGGUCGCUUGGGCCACGCGGUGCUCCACCAGGUAGAACAUGUACUCGUCGUAGAGCAGGCGGAUCAGGUGAAAAGAACCGAAGCUGGCAGCACUGCGCAGGGUCAGGUCCCGGAUCACCAUAGAGCUAAAGACAAGUUCACAUGGUGCCCUCUACAGAGUCGGGCGGAGUGUAACGCCAGAAUGUUUGCCAGAGCUUCUCGAUGAGACUAAACUGGAGGUUGACCACCACGUCCAGGAUGGCCUGAGACAAGUGGAGAGACACAAAGAUGAUUGGAAAUGCAACAAGAUCCUGCUGGCAGGUGGCACGCCGCUAUUCCUGCCCCGGCAGACAACAGGUCUUAGGCGGUCUCGCUGCGACCUGAGGAGGUGCACCUGUACUCCCUGUCACCUGCUCUUCCUUCCCCUGAUGGGAAAUAGGAGGUAGCAGCUGCACAAUACACCCACAAAAUCAUUGUGAUGCAACAAUAGGCCAACAAGACCGAUCAAGGGAAUAUUGAAGAUGCAAGGACAGAAUAUCAACCCUUAAAAACAUUCAAAAAUGUACCCCAAAUUGAAAAAAAAAUGCUAUAAAAACAUUUUUUUUAGCACUUCCCAUGAUUCCAUCUCUUAAGACCACUUAUCAACGAUGAUAUUUUGUUCUUCCAAACAGUUUUUAAUUAACAGCACUCUAGCUCUGCCCACUCCCUAAAAAAUACAUUUGAAACUUUUAGCGUAUUAUUAGGCUCUGGGAUUGAUGGAUUGACAUAAAUAUAGAUUUUCAGACAUUUAUUUUUUUCUACAGUUUUAGUCUGCCUAAAAACUGCUGUAAACAUGUUAUGUUUUCCCACACUUUAAUGAGUCUAUCUUUUAAAACUAUUUUUGUCUGCCUGAAAUAUA